CUAUGAUGAGUUUAUUAGAUGACGAGUCUGAAGCUGGAGGGGCAGAGUUUCUCUGUCCUAACGGAACGUGACGAGUCUUUCAACAAUUAUACCAUUCAUGCAUAACUGAUC
rnacentral:snoRNA from 1 species